GUGUGGUGCAGCUGUUUGAUUCAGAAUGCAUCAAAAAUAUAUUAAUUUGUGUUCCAAAGAUGAACGGUGGUCUUACGGGUUUGUAAUGACAUAAGGGUGAGUAAUUAAUGACAAAAUUUUAAUUUUGGGGUGGAGUAACCCUUUAAUUUACUCACCAUUCUUCUGCAAAACACAAGUAUAUUCAAUUAUAAUGAAACUGGCUUUCAAAAAAUACAAAGAGAAUUAUAAAAGUAUCAAAAAUUGGUCAAUAAUACUCUUAUUCCAUAUAUUCCAAGCCACGUAAUAGUUUUGUGUGAGGAAGAGAUCAAAAUCAAAAUCAUUUAGAUUUAGCUCACAGCCACGUUCCUGUGAAUGAGCGAUUCAUGAAUGAAUCAUCAUGAGUUUAAUCUUUUUGCGAAUCGGUUGAUAAGGUCUGAAUUGUUCACAAAUCGGAUUGAUCCAGUUCUCGAGUCCAACUCACAGAUUCAAUGAUCCGGUCCCAGACAACUCACAGGAUAUUAAGUUUAAUAUAAGGAUAUUAAGGAUAUUUGUUUAAUAACGAUGGUAUUUUUUCACACAAAACUAUAAUAUAGCACGUUAGUUGUUUAUACUACUUGUAGCUAUGAUACAUUUUGCUGCCUUUUUUGAAGACUGAAAGAUUUAGCAGCUAAUUGUAAUUGCACAGAAAAGCAUAGUGAUAUUUCAAAGCUACUUAUUACUUUCAGCUACUAAAAGAAACUAUUUGUGUGUUGUGAAAGCACACCUUGAGCAUCAUUAAACAUGUCAUUCAUAUGAUUUAUCCUGUUUUCAAUGACUUCAAUGGCUUUGUUCACUGCUAGCACUGGAUCAGAGCCGAAAUCUUGGAUGCCUAUAAAAACAAUUCAGAGUGAACCCAACAAAUCCAACAACAGCACAAGAGUAAAUAAAAAAAGAAACUGUGAAAAUUAAUUCUGGCCUAUUUAAAACUUACUUGCAAUCUGAUCGUCACUGACAAAGUCAAACAUGACAACACCUGCUAUUGACCAAGAGAUCAGAAGUGUGAUGAUGACCACCCAUUGUGCCGGGCGAUUCAUGAUUCGUAAAAUUCCAUGGCUCCGGGCUGUAAGUGAGUCUGGGUGUGCUGCCCUAGUCGGGUCAUCUACAGAGGUGGGAGAGAUGGGCUUCACUGCGGUACCUUUAGUUGCCUGAGCCAUGGUGGUACUUCAGCCGAAUGUCCUUUGAUUUUGCUUGUGUAAUCUUAUUUGGACGGUUUCACCCAGGUGAUCUUAAAUCCCACUCAGGAAAAGAUGUUCCUCUUUGUCGUCCCCAUCCAAUCCACGGGUGAAGCUCCACAGUCUCGUGAGAAAAGCGGGAUGAGGGUUUUCAAAGUGCCGGAUUUGGGAUCAUGGCUGGGGGAGAAUGGGAUGUUAGGUCAGGGCCAUAAACAGGGGAGUACAGGCUCUGGCAGGGGAUGCAGCAAAUAGGUGCUGGUAAUUUAGCCCAUGUUAUUGGUGCCUCACAUGGGUGUGGGACGAGAAAAGUGCUGGGGUGCUUCAAGGUAACCUUAUC
ensembl:lncRNA